GAUGAACGCUGGCGGCGCGCCUAACACAUGCAAGUCGAACGAUUAAAGCACCUUCGGGUGUGUAUAAAGUGGCGAACGGCUGAGUAACACGUGGGCAACCUGCCCCUUUCAUUGGGAUAGCCACGGGAAACCGUGGAUAAUACCGAAUACUUCGAGACUUCCGCAUGGAAGACUCGGGAAAGCUCCGGCGGAGAGGGAUGGGCCCGCGGCCUGUUAGCUUGUUGGUGGGGUAACGGCCUACCAAGGCAAUGAUGGGUAGCUGGGUUGAGAGACCGACCAGCCAGAUUGGGACUGAGACACGGCCCAGACUCCUACGGGAGGCAGCAGUGGGGAAUCUUGCACAAUGGGCGAAAGCCUGAUGCAGCGACGCCGCGUGCGGGAUGAAGGCCUUCGGGUUGUAAACCGCUUUCAGCAGGGACGAGGCGAAAGUGACGGUACCUGCAGAAGAAGCCCCGGCUAACUACGUG
rnacentral:rRNA from 1 species